rnacentral:rRNA from 1 species
CCCAGACUCCUACGGGAGGCAGCAGUGGGGGAUAUUGCACAAUGGGGGGAACCCUGAUGCAGCGACGCCGCGUGGGUGAAGGAGCGUUUCGGCGCGUAAAGCCCUAUCGGCAGGGAAGAAGGAGGACGGUACCUGACUAAGAAGCCCCGGCUAACUACGUGCCAGCAGCCGCGGUAAUACGUAGGGGGCAAGCGUUAUCCGGAUUUACUGGGUGUAAAGGGGGCGCAGACGGCAGCGCAAGCCAGGAGUGAAAGCCCGGGGCCCAACCCCGGGACUGCUCUUGGAACUGCGCGGCUGGAGUGCAGGAGGGGCAGGCGGAAUUCCUGGUGUAGCGGUGAAAUGCGUAGAUAUCAGGAGGAACACCGGUGGCGAAGGCGGCCUGCUGGACUGCGACUGACGUUGAGGCCCGAAAGCGUGGGGAGCAAACAGGAUUAGAUACCCCAGUAG